rnacentral:rRNA from 1 species
CCCUUAGAUGUCCUGGGCUGCACGCGCGCUACAAUGAUACGUGCAACGAGUUAAUCUUGCUCUGAAAGGAGUGGGUAAUCUUAUGAAUGCGUAUCGUGCUUGGGAUUGACCAUUGUAAUUAUUGGUCAUGAACGAGGAAUUCCUAGUAAGCACAAGUCAUCAGCUUGUGCUGAUUACGUCCCUGCCCUUUGUACACACCGCCCGUCGCUCCUACCGAUUGAGUGUUCCGGUGAAUUAUUCGGACUGCAACAGUUAUCUGUCGCGGAAAGUCUUGUGAACCUUAACACUUAGAGGAAGGAAAAGUCGUAACA